UACGUAGGGGGCAAGCGUUGUCCGGAAUCAUUGGGCGUAAAGCGCGUGUAGGCGGCCCGGUAAGUCCGCUGUGAAAGUCCAGGGCUCAACCCUGGGAUGCCGGUGGAUACUGUCGGGCUCGAGUCCUGAAGAGGCGAGUGGAACUCCUGGUGUAGCGGUGGAAUGCGCAGAUAUCAGGAAGAACACCAACGGCGAAGGCAGCUCGCUGGGACGGUACUGACGCUGAGACGCGAAAGCGUGGGGAGCGAACAGG
rnacentral:rRNA from 1 species